AAUCAACGCUGGCGGCGUGCCUAACACAUGCAAGUCGAACGCGACUGGGGCUUCGGCCUCAGUUGAGUGGCGAACGGGUGAGUAACACGUGGGAAUUUUUCCUGGAGUACGGAACAACCGAGGGAAACUUCGGCUAAUACCGUAUGAUGCCGAGAGGCCAAAGAUUUAUCGCUCUGGGGUGAGCCCGCGUCAGAUUAGGUAGUUGGUGGGGUAAAGGCCUACCAAGCCUGCGAUCUGAGCUGGUCUGAGAGGACGAUCAGCCACACUGGGACUGAGACACGGCCCAGACUCCUACGGGAGGCAGCAGUGGGGAAUCUUGCGCAAUGGGCGAAAGCCUGACGCAGCCAUGCCGCGUGAGUGAAGAAGGUCUUAGGAUGUAAAGCUCUUUCGCCCGUGACGAUGAUGACGGUAACGGGAGAAGAAGCCCCGGCUAACUUCGUGCCA
rnacentral:rRNA from 1 species